rnacentral:rRNA from 1 species
GAUGAACGCUGGCGGCGUGCCUAAUACAUGCAAGUCGAGCGAACAGACGAGGAGCUUGCUCCUCUGAUGUUAGCGGCGGACGGGUGAGUAACACGUGGAUCACCUACCUAUAAGACUGGGAUAACUUCGGGAAACCGGAGCUAAUACUGGAUAACAUGUUGAACCGCAUGGUUCAACAGUGAAAGACGGUCUUGCUGUCACUUAUAGAUGGAUCCGCGCCGCAUUAGCUAGUUGGUAAGGUAACGGCUUACCAAGGCAACGAUGCGUAGCCGACCUGAGAGGGUGAUCGGCCACACUGGAACUGAGACACGGUCCAGACUCCUACGGGAGGCAGCAGUAGGGAAUCUUCCGCAAUGGGCGAAAGCCUGACGGAGCAACGCCGCGUGAGUGAAGAAGGUCUUCGGAUCGUAAAACUCUGUUAUUAGGGAAGAACAAAUGUGUAAGUAACUAUGCACGUCUUGACGGUACCUAAUCAGAAAGCCACGGCUAACUACGUG